CAGGGGCGUUGCACCGUCUGUAGCAGCAGAUUCCGAGACGGACAUCACCACACAGCACAAAACCAAGCGAAUGAGUCAUGCAAGGAACUUCUUUGGAUGCACCAUACGGGAGUGUAAGAUCUCUUGUGGCCAUUUCUCAGGCUGGAUGCCAAAAUUACAAUUGGGCCAUGGAUCGCGACAAAGAACCAAGGAUUUGUUAAAAAAGGAAAUGACAUUGCUUCUCAAGAAAUCUGGUCCCUCUUUUCAGGAAGUAUAGGUUCGGUCCAACCUUGAAACUCUUGUCUGGUUCUCUGGGUAACAAGUAUGUCUCUACUCUCUAACCGGAAAAGCAGAAGAAGGCAUCACUCAUGCUCGGACUCUGGUGUUUACCACGACUGAUGCCGCCCAAUGUCUCCUCGUGAAGGGGACCAUGCUCUCUCGAGGGAAGUGAUAUUGUUAGUUGUGGAGGUGGCCAGCCAGAAGGAGGUACCUUGGCCUCUUUCCAGUUACUUUGAGUCUCAUUCUGAUGUUCUUGUGGUUGACCCUGCCAAGCGCAACGAUGCUCCGCCACCAGCAGGGGAGACGAGAAACUAAAAAUAUUUUCGUCCCUCUCGCGUGACAAAAUGUGAUUUAAAUGCGCUUCUGGCGCCUGUGUAUUCUUCACUGUGCCAAUGCCAAGGUAAGUUGGCAAUCUUUCCAGUGAUUUUGGAUACCAAGGGAAACUGUGGGAUCAGCGAGGCUUUGCUGGCAUAUUCGUUUCUAAAAACGAAUCUACUCAGCAUAAUUUUAUUAUGGAGUUCUUCCAUGGUGAAUGGCGUCCUUCUCUGAGUCCUGCGACUUGGCUUCAUCUUAUGGUUUGUGGCGUCUUUCCUUUUCAGCAGUUUUCCAAUAAGAAAUCUUUCGACGACGAUGAUUAGCUCUGGUACUUUCUUGAGCUUCUUUGUUUUGCAUUGUGUGUAUCUUUUUAGGUGAUUACCUUCGACGAAAAAUCAGGUGGCAAGAUCGUCUGACAAGCUGGCCUUGACUAGGUGAACUCUUAAUUCUAGUUCUAGUUUCUUCAAAUCUUUAGUUAUGUAAAGUUGUGUUUUCUGGUGUGCAACAAGUUUGAUGAUGUUUUCAGAGCGCACGAACUUUUGACAGGAGAGGGUCCAUCAGCAAUUACGACUUCUCACAGGGUCAAAGAAGAGAGUGACGUGCUAUGGAAUCCAAGACAGCAGAGUACACAGUGGUAUGUUUUUUAACAGCUGAUCAUACCAUCCUUUUUACAUCCUUUUCAUUGUUGUGAGAGCACAAAGAGGAGGAGAUUAUAAUGGUUUUUCACAGCAGCAAGUUGUGGUUAUUUUUUGCUCAUGUCGUUGUGCUAAUCUGUGUUUUGGAUCCUUUGCCAUAUAGAUGACACUGAAACAAGACGUAGUAUGUAACUUAACUACUUC